CUCUAUUUGAUCUGUGGUUUGUCAUGUCAGUGGUUGUCAUUUAUCAAUUAAUCAGUAAGGGUAAAUUGCACAAAAACUCUAGUUAUUGUAACUGUUAAAUUUAACAAUAACGCUAACAAUAACGAGUAAUGGCUACGUUAGACAUUAUGCGGUUGCACCAUCAAAAAAACUGUUAACGUUAUAGUUUAGUGGGUUACUAGUACAAUGAGACACAUUUUACUCAAUAAUGAACGCGGAUAUAUCACAUGUUGGUGAUAAACA
rnacentral:misc_RNA from 1 species